rnacentral:rRNA from 1 species
GUUAUAUGACCAAGCAACCAAGCGCACACGGUGGAUGCCUUGGCGGCAGAAGGCGAUGAAGGACGUGAUAGCCUGCGAUAAGUCACGGGGAGUUGGCAAUAUGCUUUGAUCCGUGAAUUUCCGAAUGGGGAAACCCACUCCGCUUGCGGAGUAUCGGCACCUGAAUCUAUAGGGUGUCGAAGCGAACCCGGAGAACUGAAAUAUCUAAGUACCCGGAGGAAAAGAAAUCAACCGAUAUUCCCUCAGUAGCGACGAGCGAACGGGGAUUAGCCCUUAAGCCUCAUGUGUUUUAGCAGAACGGUCUGGAAAGGCCGGCCAUAGACGGUGAUAGCCCGGUAUGCGAAAGGGCGCACGAGGUGAAAUCGAGUAAGGCGGGACACGUGAUAUCCUGUCUGAACAUGGGGGGACCAUCCUCCAAGGCUAAAUACUCUCUGCCGACCGAUAGUGAACCAGUACCGUGAGGGAAAGGCGAAAAGAACCCCGGAGAGGGGAGUGAAAUAGAACCUGAAACCGUGUGCGUACAAGCAGUCGGAGCUCCGUCGCUAAAGCACCUUCCAUGAAGGUGGUUGGGGCGGCAAGCCCAGCACCCGCGUUGGCCAUCGCGUAGCGAUGGCCAACCGCAAAAUCAAGCCGAGGGUGCUUUAGGACGGAGUGACGGCGUACCUUUUGUAUUAUGGGUCAGCGACUUACUUUCAGUGGCAAGCUUAACCGUUUAGGGAAGGCGAAGGGAAACCGAGUCUGAAUAGGGCGUAUAGUCUCUGGGAGUAGACCCGAAACCGAGUGAUCUAGCCAUGGGCAGGGUGAAGGUGCCGUAACAGGCACUGGAGGCCCGAACCCACUAAUGUUGAAAAAUUAGGGGAUGACCUGUGGCUAGGAGUGAAAGGCUAAACAAACUCGGAGAUAGCUGGUUCUCCUCGAAAGCUAUUUAGGUAGCGCCUCGUGUCUCACUCCUGGGGGUAGAGCACUGUUAUGGCUAGGGGGUCAUACCGACUUACCAAACCAUGGCAAACUCCGAAUACCAGGAAGUGCAAUCACGGGAGACAGACGGCGGGUGCUAACAUCCGUCGUCAAAAGGGAAACAACCCAGACCGCCAGCUAAGGUCCCCAAAUCAUGGCUAAGUGGAAAACGAUGUGGGAAGGCCCAGACAGCCAGGAGGUUGGCUUAGAAGCAGCCACCCUUUAAAGAAAGCGUAAUAGCUCACUGGUCGAGUCGGCCUGCGCGGAAGAUUUACCGGGGCUCAAGCCAUGUACCGAAGCUGCGGAUGCAGGUUUACCUGCAUGGUAGAGGAGCGUUCCGUAGGCCUGCGAAGGUGUGUCGAGAGGCAUGCUGGAGGUAUCGGAAGUGCGAAUGCUGACAUGAGUAACGAUAAAACGGGUGAAAAACCCGUUCGCCGAAAGCCCAAGGUUUCCUCGCGCAACGUUAAUCGGCGCAGGGUGAGUCGGCCCCUAAGGCGAGGCGGAAACGCGUAGUCGAUGGGAAGCAGGUUAAUAUUCCUGCACCAGGUGUUACUGCGAUGGAGAGACGGAGAAGGCUAGGUGCUCCGGGCGUUGGUUGUCCCGGUCCAAGCAGGUAGGCAGGUCCCUUUGGCAAAUCCGGGGGAUCAAUGUCGAGAUGCGAUGGGGAGCCCCCUGUGUGGGGCGAAGGCAUUGAUGCCAUGCUUCCAGGAAAAUCUUCUAAGCUUCAGGUAACGCUUGACCGUACCGUAAACCGACACAGGUAGGCAGGGUGAGAAUCCCAAGGCGCUUGAGAGAACUCGGGUGAAGGAACUAGGCAAAAUGGUACCGUAACUUCGGGAGAAGGUACGCCUCUGGCGGUGAUGAGACUUGCUCUCUGAGCUUCUGGAGGCCGCAGUGACCAGGUGGCUGCGACUGUUUAUUAAAAACACAGCACUCUGCAAACACGCAAGUGGACGUAUAGGGUGUGACGCCUGCCCGGUGCCGGAAGGUUAAGUGAUGGGGUUAGGUUCGCCGAAGCUCUUGAUCGAAGCCCCGGUAAACGGCGGCCGUAACUAUAACGGUCCUAAGGUAGCGAAAUUCCUUGUCGGGUAAGUUCCGACCUGCACGAAUGGCGUAACGAUGGCCACGCUGUCUCCACCCGAGACUCAGUGAAAUUGAAAUUGCGGUGAAGAUGCCGUAUACCCGCGGCUAGACGGAAAGACCCCGUGAACCUUUACUACAGCUUCACACUGAACUUCGGUUACUCCUGUGUAGGAUAGGUGGGAGGCUUUGAAGCGUGGACGCCAGUCUGCGUGGAGCCAACCUUGAAAUACCACCCUGGUGUAACUGGAGUUCUAACCCAGGACCGUUAUCCGGUUCGGGGACAGUGUGUGGUGGGUAGUUUGACUGGGGCGGUCUCCUCCCAAAGAGUAACGGAGGAGCACGAAGGUACCCUCAGCACGGUCGGACAUCGUGCGGUGAGUGCAAAGGCACAAGGGUGCUUGACUGCGAGAUCGACGGAUCGAGCAGGUACGAAAGUAGGUCUUAGUGAUCCGGUGGUUCUGUAUGGAAGGGCCAUCGCUCAACGGAUAAAAGGUACUCCGGGGAUAACAGGCUGAUACCGCCCAAGAGUUCAUAUCGACGGCGGUGUUUGGCACCUCGAUGUCGGCUCAUCACAUCCUGGGGCUGUAGCCGGUCCCAAGGGUAUGGCUGUUCGCCAUUUAAAGUGGUACGCGAGCUGGGUUUAGAACGUCGUGAGACAGUUCGGUCCCUAUCUGCCGUGGGCGCUUGAGACUUGAGGAAAUCUGCUCCUAGUACGAGAGGACCGGAGUGGACGAUCCGCUGGUGUUCCGGUUGUAUCGCCAGAUGCAUUGCCGGGUAGCUACGAUCGGCAGGGAUAACCGCUGAAAGCAUCUAAGCGGGAAGCCCAUUCCAAGAUUAGGUCUCACUGGACCCUCGAGGUCCCUGAAGGGCCCUGGAAGACGACCAGGUUGAUAGGCUGGGUGUGGAAGUGCAGUAAUGCAUGAAGCUAACCAGUACUAAUUGCCCGUGAGGCUUGGUCAUAUAACACCAAAGC